rnacentral:rRNA from 1 species
UACCAGCACCCCGAGUGGUCGGGACGAUUAUUGGGCCUAAAGCAUCCGUAGCCGGCCUUACAAGUCCUCCGUUAAAUCCAGCUGCUUAACAGAUGGGCUGCGGAGGAUACUAUAAGACUAGGAGGCAGGAGAGGCAAGCGGUACUCAAUGGGUAGGGGUAAAAUCCGUUGAUCCAUUGAAGACCACCAGUGGCGAAGGCGGCUUGCCAGAAUGCGCUCGACGGUGAGGGAUGAAAGCUGGGGGAGCAAACCGG